UACGAGGGGGGCGAGCGUUGUUCGGAAUUAUUGGGCGUAAAGGGCGCGUAGGCGGUUGAUAAGGCUUGUGUGAAAUCUUCGGGCUCAACUCGAAGUCUGCACGAGAAACUAUCUGGCUUGAGUGUGGGAGAGGUGAGUGGAAUUCCUGGUGUAGCGGUGAAAUGCGUAGAUAUCAGGAGGAACACCUGUGGCGAAAGCGGCUCACUGGACCACAACUGACGCUGAGGCGCGAAAGCUAGGGGAGCAAACAGG
rnacentral:rRNA from 1 species